rnacentral:rRNA from 1 species
UACGUAGGGGGCAAGCGUUGUCCGGAUUUAUUGGGCGUAAAGAGCGUGUAGGCGGCCGUACAGGUCAGCUGUGAAAACUCGAGGCUCAACCUCGAGACGCCACGCGAUACUGGCGUGACUAGAGUUCGGUAGGGGAUCACGGAAUUCCUGGUGUAGCGGUGAAAUGCGCAGAUAUCAGGAGGAACACCGGUGGCGAAGGCGGUGAUCUGGGCCGACACUGACGCUGUAGAGCGAAAGCGUGGGGAGCGAACAGG